rnacentral:rRNA from 1 species
AUACGUAGGGUGCAAGCGUUAAUCGGAAUUACUGGGCGUAAAGCGUGCGCAGGCGGUUUUGUAAGACAGAGGUGAAAUCCCCGGGCUCAACCUGGGAACUGCCUUUGUGAAUGGAAGGCUAGAGUACGGCAGAGGGGGGUGGAAUUCCGCGGGUAGCAGUGAAAUGCGUAGAUAUGCGGAGGAACACCGAUGGCGAAGGCAAUCCCCUGGGACUGUACUGACGCUCAUGCACGAAAGCGUGGGGAGCAAACAGGAUUAGAUACCCUGGUAGUCCACGCCCUAAACGAUGUCAACUGGUUGUUGGGUCUUCAUUGACUCAGUAACGAAGCUAACGCGUGAAGUUGACCGCCUGGGGAGUACGGCCGCAAGGUUGAAACUCAAAUGAAUUGACGGGG